CUUGAUAAAGAAUAAUCAGGUCCCAUGAGUUUCUGUGAUGACCUUUUUUUUCUGCUUUCCUAGUGCCAGAAAUGAUCAUUCAACAUUUGAGAAGAGAGACCAGAGAACCUUUAGAGCCCACGCCUGCUGGAGGCUCCACUCUCAGCAUGAGCUGGGUAGCACUUACACCACUUCAGAGACCUGCUUCUGUCUUUCACCAGUGGCAUUUGGAUGCAAUAUACUGUGGAAGUGUGACAGGGAAGAAAACAAACCUGUUCUAUGACUAGUGGUGCUGAACCACAUAUACUAUGGACUCAAGAGCUUGUAUUUUACUUAUGGCUGGCUGACUCCACCUCCAUGCUCCUUGCCAGCUCUCAGUACCUGUACCCUCCAAAGUACUUCCUAAAUGCAAAAGCCACUUUGCUGAUUGCAGAAGAUAAAUCCUUCCUCACCUGCCUCCCCUCUGCAGCUGCCCCUGCAUCCUCAGGGCUGACUCCAUCUCCACCUGUAAAGCUGCUCUGCAAAGGAGCCCCAAGAUGGAGGUAAAAGGGAGCAGAACCUAGAUGUGAACAGCUACAUACAGCAUUUCCUAACUUCUAAACAAUGGACUCCAUAACGGCAGGAGCCUUCCUUUCCAGUCUGCAUGCGUCAGGAUGUUGACUCACGCACAUACACGGACACACAAGGUA
rnacentral:lncRNA from 1 species